GCCCGUUUGGCUUAGGGGUACAGCGUCCCACUCGUAAUGGGAAGAUCCGCGGUUCGAUUCCGCGAAUGGGCA
rnacentral:tRNA from 1 species